AUACAGAGGUCUCAAGCGUUGUUCGGAUUCAUUGGGCGUAAAGGGUGCGUAGGCUGUAUGGUAAGUCAGAUGUGAAAUUUUAGGGCUCAACCCUGAAACUGCAUCCGAUACUGCCGUGCUAGAGGAUUGGAGAGGAGAUUGGAAUUCAUGGUGUAGCAGUGAAAUGCGUAGAUAUCAUGAGGAAGACCAGUGGCGAAGGCGAAUCUCUGGACAAAUCCUGACGCUGAGGCACGAAGGCUAGGGUAGCGAACGGGAUUAGAUACCCCAGUAGUCC
rnacentral:rRNA from 1 species